AGCGAACGCUGGCGGCAGGCCUAACACAUGCAAGUCGAACGGAUCCUUCGGGAUUAGUGGCGGACGGGUGAGUAACACGUGGGAACGUGCCCUUUGGUUCGGAACAACUCAGGGAAACUUGAGCUAAUACCGGAUGUGCCCUUCGGGGGAAAGAUUUAUCGCCAUUGGAGCGGCCCGCGUCUGAUUAGCUAGUUGGUGAGGUAAAGGCUCACCAAGGCGACGAUCAGUAGCUGGUCUGAGAGGAUGAUCAGCCACAUUGGGACUGAGACACGGCCCAAACUCCUAUGGGAGGCAGCAGUGGGGAAUCUUGCGCAAUGGGCGAAAGCCUGACGCGGCCAUGCCGCGUGAAUGAUGAAGGUCUUAGGAUUGUAAAAUUCUUUCACCGGGGACGAUAAUGACGGUACCCGGAGAAGAAGCCCCGGCUAACUUCGUGCCAGCAGCCGCAGUAAGAC
rnacentral:rRNA from 1 species